GUAGGUGGGCAAGCGUUGUCCGGAAACUAUUGGGGCGUAAAGCGCGCGCAGGGCGGUCCUUUAAGUCUGAUGUGAAAGCCCACGGCUCAACCGUGGAGGGUCAUUGGAAACUGGGGGACUUGAGUACAGAAGAGGAAAGCGGAAUUCCAAGUGUAGCGGUGAAAUGCGUAGAGAUUUGGAGGAACACCAGUGGCGAAGGCGGCUUUCUGGUCUGUAACUGACGCUGAGGCGCGAAAGCGUGGGGAGCAAACAGGAUUAGAUACCCUGGUAGUCCACGCCGUAAACGAUGAGUGCUAAGUGUUAGGGGGUUUCCGCCCCUUAGUGCUGCAGCUAACGCAUUAAGCACUCCGCCUGGGGAGUACGGCCGCAAAGGCUG
rnacentral:rRNA from 1 species